rnacentral:miRNA from 1 species
GAACCUGAAAUUUUGUCUCAGCC